AGAGUUUUUGCUAAAAGCAGCUAGGAAGCCCCACGGCUCCAGUGUGCGUGAACUCCUGGUAAUUUCCUUGGGGAAUCCCGCCUCAGAGAACCUCUACCCCGAGAAUUAGGAGGAAGCUGAGCUAGGCUGACUUGAGGAAAGAGAGCUGGAGGAGCGGGGUUCAACAUUUUUCAAAAUAAAAAGUUGGUAGAAUAAUAGGAAGCCAUGAGGACCAAGAAGCUCACAUUUCCAAGGCUUUCUAAGUUUCACCUUGAAGCAAGAUACAUCAUAAAGCAUUGUCUAGGUACAACUUGCACUUUCCUGUCCAAGCCUCAGACCCUGUUCUUCAUCUGGGCCCACAGAGCAACAGCUUCCACUUUUGUGGCCAAAGAAAAAUGCUAACCAGCUUGUAAUUGCUGUAAGGAGAUGGAGUUUCACUUACAUCCAGGCUGGAAUGCAGUGGCGUGAUCUUGGCUCACUGGAACCUCCACCUCCUGGGUUCAAGCAAUUCUCGUGCUUCAGCCUCCCGAGUAGCUGGGAUUAUAGACUUUGUCUUCUAAAGAACUUUGGGCUAAAUGGAGUAAAGAACACCAUAAAGGAGAAAAAUUGACAUCGUUUGAGCACCUACUAAGCGUCGGCUUUAAGCUAAACACUCAUAUUUAUUCCUCACAAAGGCCCUGUGAAGAUUAUCACUGUUUUUGUAUGGAUUGAGAAACUGAUGACGCACAGAAAA
rnacentral:lncRNA from 1 species